rnacentral:rRNA from 1 species
UACGUAGGGGGCUAGCGUUGUCCGGAAUCAUUGGGCGUAAAGCGCGUGUAGGCGGUCCGGUAAGUCCGCUGUGAAAGUCGGGGGCUCAACCCUCGAAUGCCGGUGGAUACUGUCGGGCUAGAGUACGGAAGAGGCGAGUGGAAUUCCUGGUGUAGCGGUGAAAUGCGCAGAUAUCAGGAGGAACACCAAUUGCGAAGGCAGCUCUCUGGGACGGUACUGACGCUGAGACGCGAAAGCGUGGGGAGCGAACAGG